rnacentral:rRNA from 1 species
UGGGGAAUAUUGGACAAUGGGCGAAAGCCUGAUCCAGCCAUGCCGCGUGUGUGAAGAAGGUCUUCGGAUUGUAAAGCACUUUAAGUUGGGAGGAAGGGCAUUAACCUAAUACGUUAGUGUUUUGACGUUACCGACAGAAUAAGCACCGGCUAACUCUGUGCCAGCAGCCGCGGUAAUACAGAGGGUGCAAGCGUUAAGCGGAAUUACUGGGCGUAAAGCGCGCGUAGGUGGUUUGUUAAGUUGGAUGUGAAAUCCCCGGGCUCAACCUGGGAACUGCAUUCAAAACUGACUGACUAGAGUAUGGUAGAGGGUGGUGGAAUUUCCUGUGUAGCGGUGAAAUGCGUAGAUAUAGGAAGGAACACCAGUGGCGAAGGCGACCACCUGGACUAAUACUGACACUGAGGUGCGAAAGCGUGGGGAGCAAACA